UGGGGAAUAUUGGACAAUGGGCGCAAGCCUGAUCCAGCCAUGCCGCGUGAGUGACGAAGGUCUUCGGAUUGUAAAGCUCUUUUUGGCGGGGACGAUAAUGACGGUACCCGCAGAAUAAGCCCCGGCUAACUUCGUGCCAGCAGCCGCGGUAAUACGAAGGGGGCUAGCGUUGUUCGGAAUUACUGGGCGUAAAGCGCACGUAGGCGGACUCUUAAGUCAGGGGUGAAAUCCUGGGGCUCAACCCCAGAACUGCCUUUGAUACUGGCUGUCUCGAGGUCGAGAGAGGUUGGUGGAAUUCCUAGUGUAGAGGUGAAAUUCGUAGAUAUUAGGAAGAACACCAGUGGCGAAGGCGGCCAACUGGCUCGAUACUGACGCUGAGGUGCGAAAGCGUGGGGAGCAAACAGGAUUAGAUACCCUAGUAGUCCCUGAGCGGGCUGGCAAGGCG
rnacentral:rRNA from 1 species